GAUGAAUUUGGUCCUAGUUCACGGCCUUGGCUCAGGCUAUACUAAACACAUGGUACCUCAGGGGCUCCAGUGAGUAAAUAAGUUUUAAUGAAAUCAGUUUAACACUAUUGACAUUUAAGCCUUAUAAAGCAUUAUUUUUAAAUAUCAUGCUUAACUUACGUUCACUAAUACACGCCAGUGUUGAAGAUUAAGAUAUAAAUUAGAGUUUGAAUUAGUAAUUAGCCUCUUAAAGCCUGGUAAAGCUUGUGCCAGCCACCGCGGUUAAACAAGCGAGCUAAGUCAAGGAAACACAGUAAAAAGGGGGUUAAAUGGCCUGCCACUAUCUAUAAGAACUUAUCUUUUUCCAAUGAGUAAAAUCUUAAUUAAAAUGCUACAACCUAUUGUUCUUAUUUACAUUGACACCCCGAAACCUUAAACCAAAACCGGGAUUAGAUACCCCGCUAUUUAAGGCGUAAAAUUUAACAUAACAAAACGUUUACUAGAGUACUACGAGCAUCCCGCAAAUCAGUUAAUUGCGGAUCUAUUAACUUAAAACUUAAAAGACUUGGCGGUGCCUUAAAUCCAUCCGGGGGAACCUGUCCUAUAAUCGAUAAUCCACGUUUAACCUCACCUCCUCUUGAACUUAUUACACUCAGCCUGUAUACCGUCGUCAUCAGAUCACCUUCAAAGAGAAUAUAAGUUAUCAAAAAGAAUUUACCAUAGACUUCACAGUUUAUCUCUUCAUUCCUUAUGUCAGAUCAAGGUGCAGCCAAUGGGGAGGUAGAGAUGGGUUACAAUAGUUACUUACUAUUACGGAUUUUUAUUUGCAAAUAAUAAAAUUAAGGAGGACUUGGUAGUAAUGGGGCACAAAAUAAUAGAUAGACCUCAUGAAACAGGCUCUAAGGCGUGCACAUAUCGCCCGUCACUCUCGUUGAAAAAUGAGAUAAGUCGUAACACAGUAAGGGUACCGGAAGGUGCCUUUGAAUAAUU
rnacentral:ncRNA from 1 species